UGCCUANGGAUCUGCCCAGUCGAGGGGGAUAACAGUUGGAAACGACUGCUAAUACCGCAUACGCCCUACGGGGGAAAGAGGGGGACCUUCGGGCCUCUCGCGAUUGGAUGAACCUAGGUGGGAUUAGCUAGUUGGUGAGGUAAUGGCUCACCAAGGCGACGAUCCCUAGCUGUUCUGAGAGGAUGAUCAGCCACACUGGGACUGAGACACGGCCCAGACUCCUACGGGAGGCAGCAGUGGGGAAUAUUGCACAAUGGGGGAAACCCUGAUGCAGCCAUGCCGCGUGUGUGAAGAAGGCCUUCGGGUUGUAAAGCACUUUCAGUAGGGAGGAAAGGGUGAGUCUUAAUACGGCUCAUCUGUGACGUUACCUACAGAAGAAGGACCGGCUAACUCCGUGCCAGCAGCCGCGGUAAUACGGAGGGUCCGAGCGUUAAUCGGAAUUACUGGGCGUAAAGCGUGCGCAGGCGGUUUGUUAAGCGAGAUGUGAAAGCCCUGGGCUCAACCUAGGAAUAGCAUUUCGAACUGGCGAACUAGAGUCUUGUAGAGGGGGGUAGAAUUCCAGGUGUAGCGGUGAAAUGCGUNNAGAUCUGGAGGANNACCGGUGGCGAAGGCGGCCCCCCUGNACAAAANNNGACGCUCNUGCACAAAAGCNUGGGGGAGNANACANGAUU
rnacentral:rRNA from 1 species